UGGGGAAUAUUGCACAAUGGGCGAAAGCCUGAUGCAGCGACGCCGCGUGAGGGACGAAGGUCUUCGGAUUGUAAACCUCUUUCAGCAGGGACGAAGCGAAAGUGACUGUACCUGCAGAAGAAGCACCGGCUAACUACGUGCCAGCAGCCGCGGUAAUACGUAGGGUGCAAGCGUUGUCCGGAUUUAUUGGGCGUAAAGAGCUCGUAGGCGGUUCGUCACGUCGGAUGUGAAAACCUGGGGCUUAACCCCGGGCCUGCAUACGAUACGGGCGAACUAGAGUGCGGUAGGGUGGACUGGAAUUCCUGGUGUAGCGGUGAAAUGCGCAGAUAUCAGGAGGAACACCGGUGGCGAAGGCGGGUCUCUGGGCCGAUACUGACGCUGAGGAGCGAAAGCGUGGGGAGCAAACA
rnacentral:rRNA from 1 species